rnacentral:tRNA from 1 species
GGCCGUGUGGCCUAAUGGAUAAGGCGUCUGACUUCUAAUCAAGAGAUUGAAGGUUCGACUCCUGCUUGGGUCA